ACAGUUUACGUUGAAACUUUGUAUUCAUGUUAUAUAUAACAUAUUAUGGUUAGUUGAUACAUGUUUGGUUAACUGUUACAAAAUAUGUUAUCGCUUUUUACAUUGUUUGGUAAAAUUGUUAAAGUAGCAAUCAUCUAUUACAGAGCUGAGGUGUUGGCUGUUAAAUAGUUUAUCUUGGCUGUUAAAUAGUUUGUUAGAUGCUAUGAAAUAAGUUAGUAGGUUAAAAC
rnacentral:lncRNA from 1 species